GGUAGGUGUGGUGACACUUACCUGUAAUCUCAGCUACUCAGGAGGCUGAGGCAGAAGGAUGGCUUGAGCGGAGGAGUUCUGGGUUGUAGUGCCCCUAUGACGAUAGGGAGUCUGCACUAGGUUCAGCAUCAAUAUGAUGACCUCCUGAGAACAAGGGACUACCAGGUUGCCCAAGGAGGGGUGAUGUAGCCCAGGAACGGAGAAGGUCAAAACUCCUGUGUUUAUCAGUAGUGGGAUGGUGUGUGUGUGUGAAUAGCCGCUGCACUCCAGCCUGGGCAACAUAGUUAGACCCCAUCUCU
rnacentral:SRP_RNA from 1 species